rnacentral:rRNA from 1 species
UUAAAUUGAAGAGUUUGAUCAUGGCUCAGAUUGAACGCUGGCGGCAGGCCUAACACAUGCAAGUCGAGCGGCAGCGGAAAGUA